CGUCUGCUCCUCAUCCAGGCAGGUGCUCCGGAGAGUGAGGUGUAGGCAAGGCACAGGGCUGUCCAUGAUACCCGGACGUUCGAAUUCUUUCAUUGUCAAGCGAAUCUGCCUGGAGGUGCAGGUCGGAAGUCAGUAAAGUUUUGGAGUUUAUCUUGACUACUGUUCAACAUCCUCCAGUGAAAUUCUUCUUAUUGGCCACCAUACCGGUAGUUAUCGUACCGUACACAGUCUGCAGGUACUGCCUGAACUACCACACGCUUUGACUGUGUCCGGGUUUGACUGGGCCAGCUCGGCACCGUACGGUGUGGACAAAACUACAGUUGUGAUUGUAGGUUUUGCUCGUUUGCGGGCAGUGCCCGUCGAGCUGUGCUGGAUCGUCUGGACGGGCCUUACCUCCGGCUUCAGUUAGCAGGGUAUGGUGUAGAGUUGGAAACCGUCUGGGAUCUUAUCAAAUGCUCCAUCGGAAAACCAAUUUAGUUUGAUUGUAAGAAUAUCAAGGUUGUCAUAGUGACAAUUUCAAAAUUAGUCUUCGUGUGCCAGAAAGGGCUUUCUUCUUGCCAUUACUUCAAGUAAUUAUAUUCCCGUCUGGUGCGGUUCUUUGUUGCGGCACUUUUUUUUUUUUUUUUUUAAGUAAGGCUCCUGCAGCAUCCAUAGGAAAAUGCGUUGUUGCAUUUCCACUUGUAUGAGUUACUUUAGAGCUGCAAAGUUCCCCUGCUCACCAAGUAACGCUAUUUCACUUUUACAACUUAAUUCAGAUUACCGAGUGGCAAGGCAAUGGGUUUGAAGUGGCGUAUGCCAUAGACGCAAAACACUAUAAACAUAACCAGCAAAUAACCAUUCUAACCACACAAGCAGACAAUAAUAAACAAUCUCCACAUCAUGAGAAAUUCCAUUUUCCCGAUAAAUUCAAAUAGUUAAAGCAGGGAAAUGACUAAGUCCUUCUCUAAAUAAUUAAUUGCAUAUUAUUUCAGAUAAUAUGAAGGACUCGUUUAAGAUCACGGAGUACGCUCACUUUCCCACUAAACACGCAAAUGCACACAUGAACACAAAGCGUUAAAUCCCCACAUGCAAUAAAACACAGCAAAACUGUACACGAUAAUAAAACACUCGGCCACUACAUGCAAAGGACCACAGAAAUUAUCAUACAGCACAUGUUAAUCUAGAAUGAAAUACACAUGGAAAGCACAAAACCUAUGCAAAUACCACAGUAUAUUUGACGGUUAAAAUCGAGACGUUAAGGCACAUUAGGAAAAUUUCUUUAAUUAUUACGUAGCAGAAAACGACUGGUGAACUCUCGAUGCAUUUAAAUGUGAUGCACCUCCAAAAAUUAAUACACAUUACUCGUGCUGUUUUCCUGUGGUCUGCCAGUACUGUUCCACGCUCCUUAUAUCCGCUUCUAAACUUCCGUGUUGGCGAUCUACAUAUAUUACUACAGACAUCGAUAUCAUUAAAGUCUAAAAUCCAGCUAGAAAGUACACUCCUCUCUCAUUACUUUCUCACCAGGGUGUUCACCUAUAAGCUUGUGACUUAAGCUUGUUAGUCACCGGGUUCUUAAGGCCCACAUCUCGCUUAGAGAACACAGGAUGAUCACUCUUACACAUGGGUGUGCAUGUCUAUUACUAUCUUUCAUUAGCCUUUCUUUUAGCUCGCGCACCACUGAGUCACGAGAAUACAUGAAAAAUCUCAAAUACUAAAUUACUGGAGAAAAAGGCAAAACCAACAAUAAAAGAUCUGAGAUCAAUAGCCCUUACAGACACCACAUAUAAAUUAUUAAUGGGAAUCAUAAAAAAUUAAAUGCAAAGACAUUUAAUGGAAGAACAAAAUGCAUAUACUAAAAUAGAAGAGCAGCAGACAAUUUAUUUAUACUACAUUACUGUAUACAGAAAAGUUACGAACAUAAGAGAUCACUUGUAUUAAUAUCAGUAGACUUUCCAAAGGCAUUCGACAGUAUAAGCAGAGAAAUGUUAAUGAAAGUAAUGAUAAAAUAUCACUUAUAUUAAUAUCAGUAGACUUUCCAAAGGCAUUCGACUGUAUAAGCAGAGAAAUGUUAAUGAAAGUAAUGAUUAAAUAUAAGAUACACCCAAAGUUAAUUAACCUCAUCGCCAAAGUAUAUGCAGAGGACAACGCCAAAAUAAUCCUUAAUGAUAAAGAAAUUUGUAAUAUUGAAAUAACGAAAGGCAUACGACAAGGAUGCCAUGAGUCAACUGUCAUGUUUCUCAUGGUGACAUAUUAUAUCCUCGAAAAACUUAAACAAUCCAAUGCCAAAUUCAGGAGUGAUGUGUGUGCCCUGGCCUCACGCCUCAGUAUUUUUCGCCGAUGAUGCAAUGCUUCUCGUAACCAAUGAAGAUGAGGCUAAACAAAAUAUAAAGUUACUAAUAAAACUAGCAGAGGACUGUGGAUUGCAAUUAAAUAAGGAAAAAUGGAACAUAUCAAUUUUUAACUCGUACUACGGAAAACAUAGAAGAAAUAAGUUAUUCAUCAAAUAAAGUAUUUAGGAACAAAAAUAACGAAGUGGAACUUUCUGUUUGAACAUAAGAAAAUACUAUACAUGAGGCAAACAGAUGUGCAAACAUGAUGCUAUCCAUCACAAGAAGCUGCAAUAAGGUUCUCAUAGGAAUAACAUAUUGGGAAAGUGUUGUUCUACCAUUAAUAAUGUUUGAGGGAGAAGUAGUAAACUAUACAAGAAAGAAAGAUGCAAUGCAAAAAGCAGAAAACAACAUGCAGAUAUGUAAUGAAUGUUCCAAUCUAUACUCCAAACUGUACAAUAAGAGGAGAAAUAGAAGCAUCAUCUCUCACAGCAAGAGACAUGAAGACCAAACUCAACUAUGACACAUUAUGCAAGGCAACAAUACAUUACUAAAAAUAAUCUUUGAAGAUAUAAUGGAAACCGAAAGAUCCAUGGAUAAAAACGGUUAAGACAUGUUAGAAAUAAAUAUAAAUGUUAAUAAAAUAAGAUAAAUAAGAAAAGAAGAGAUAAGCAACAAAAUCAAGGAUUGGGACACUGAAUGCUGGGAAGCAGAAUUAGAAACAGAACACAGUUCAGCUAUAUACAGAAAGUAUAAAAAUGGAAUCAAGACGGAGACAGCAAUUUAUGAUAACAUCUCACCAUCUGACUUGCUGUUCAAGGCUAGAACAAAUAUCCUGGAGUUAGGAUGGAGGAGUAAACAUAGUGGCUAGAACAAAUACCCUGGAGUUAGGAUGGAGGAGUAAACAUAGAACUUCAAGUUGUCCUCUAUGUAACUACGAUGAAGAAAACCUAGAACAUUUUCUGAGACACUACAAGACUCCUCCAACAACCCUAUCACACAAUUAUAUUGGAAAACUCUGAUAAAGAUAAUACACAACAAGAAUAUAAAGAUAAUAAACAACAAGAAUAUAAGAAUAUCAUAACAUCACUGAAAAAAAAAUCUGUUUAAUAUGACAAACAGCAGCAACAGUAGAAAAAAAUUUAGAGGUGCCGUUGCAAAGGCAAUACCCCAAAAUACCAACUGAACUGAACAGAGGAGUAAUUGUUGUGUCUGCUGUUUCCACGAAAGUACAGCAAUAGGUCAUUAUGAAUUCAUUAAGAGGCGUAGUCUUCCUCUGCGUCAUCUGCAUCUGCACUACUGGGCAUGGUAUCGUUACGAGAGGUGACGCCUGGGUGGCGUCAGUUUCAGUACUACGACUCAUCAACCGUCUUCAGACCGCAAAGUCUGGCGGCUCUCGGAGGACAGUUGUGUUCCGUGCCAAGAAGGACUCUUAGGUCGUUUCUCGUCUUAAGGGAUGGAUUGGUUUUCUUGCAUCCCCAGCAUGUGUAGUUUCCACUCGUUCUGUUAAUUACUGCAUAAACAUGACCUUGCUGUAAUAGUUUUCUGCAUCCUCUUGAAGUUACGGUGAACUCCAUUUCGAUUGGUAUCUGUAAAAGAAAAAUCAUCUUGCUCACAAACGCUUACUCAGCGAUCCUUUAAAAUACUUUGAACAGAGUAAAAUUCCGCGGACUUGGGUACAACUUUGGGUAUGGCACAACCGUGCGAGGGACUCUGGCUAUGGACGGGCUAUAUCUGUGAAGUCUUGCCGGGCUUAAGCAAACGUUAACUAGUAUAAAGAAUCGUGAAUGUGUUGAAAUGCAUGGAAAGUUAAGAAAGGAAAUGAAGCAAUACGAAACAAGAUAUAAAAAACGACCGAACGAAGAGGUGGAAAGAACAACGAAGCACUCAAAUAGGAUAUUGUACCCAUGGGUAGAUAAGGAUAGGUAGUAACACUGUUAAUGUUGUCUUUUGUUCAUUUAGUGUUCGAAACUUCCUUGUUUUCAUCUGACGAAAUGUCGCCAUUUAGCACAACAGGAGGCACCAUCACGGUGCUGAUGUAAACACGGAUGUUGUGUCUUCGUUCGCUGUAUAUUAGAGGGACGUCAUCGGAGGCAGGCAGUAUACAGCAGGGUGUGUGCGUGACAACAGAGAUCCACAAAGGAGCCUGUCGUGUGUCCUGUUGGACUCCUUGUUGUGAGAGACUUUAAAUGCGUAAUAAGAUCUAGACGAAAAUACAAGAAAAUUUCCAAAUGUAUUUUUUCUUUAAUGGAAAAUAGAAUAUUCAGUUCUCAUUUGACCUCGGUGGUAUACUACCAAAACAAAACAUUGUAACACGAAGAAGGCCUCUGAAAACAUGAGUCAAUUUCAUUGGUCCCAUGAUGCUAUUACAAGUCUCUUAGAAAAAGUUCAUGAUCAUGAGGUCCUAUGGAACAUCAGACAUCCCCACUAUCCAAAGAAGACGAUGAAAAGGAGGAUCUUUGAGGAGAUAAGGAACCAGCUGAUUCAGACUCACCCUGAAAUGGCUUCUCUGACUGCAGAUGAGCUGUCUGGGAAGUUUUCUUAUCUUCACGGCAACUUCUAAAGGGUAUUGCGUAAUGUUCGCAACACUCCCAGUGGCUCCGGUGGCAAGCCAGAACCAAAGUGGGAGUUUUUUUUUUUAUGUAGGAGGUACACUGACUCAAGGGCAACAAAAAUCCAAUAAAAAAAAAAUGCCCACUGAAAUGCCAGUUCCUUAAAAGGGUCCAAAGCGGUAGUAAAAAAUUGAAGGAUAAGUGUCUUGAAACCUCCCUCUUGAAGGAAUUCAAUUCAUAGGAAGGUGGAAAUACAGAAGCAGGCAGGGAGUUCCAGAGUUUACCAGAGAAGAAUGAUUGAGAAUACUGGUUAACUCUUGCAUUAGAGAGGUGGACAGAAUAGGGGUGAGAGAAAAAAGAAAGUCUUGUGCAGCGAAGCCGCAGGAGGGGAAGCAUGCAGUUAGCAAGAUCAGAAGAGCAGUUAGCAUGAAAAUAGCAGUAGAAGACAGCUAGAGAUGCAACAUUGCGGCGAUGAGAGAGAGCUUGAAGACGGUCAGUUAGAGGAAAGGAGUUGAUGAGAGUUGAUGAGAAAAACUGGCAGAGACGUCUCAGAACACCUAACUCAUAGAAGCUGUUUUAGCUAGAGAUGAGAUGUGAAGUUUCCAGUUCAGAUUAUAAGUAAAGGACAGACCAAGGAUGUUCAGUGUAGAAGAUGGGGACAGUUGAGUGUCAAUGAAGAAGAGGGGAUAGAUGUCUGGAAGGUUGUGUUAAGUUGAUAGAUGGAGGAAUUGAGUUUUUGAGGCAUUGAACAAUACCAGGUUUGCUCUGCCCCAAUCAGAAAUCUUAGAAAGAUCAGAAGUCAAGCGUUUUGUUGCUUCCCUGCAUGAAAUGUUUACUUCCUGAAGGGUUGGACGUUUAUAAAAAAGACGUGGAAAAGUGCAGGAUGGUAUCAUCAGCGUAGGAGUGGAUAGGACAAAAAGUUUGAUUUAGAAGAUCAUUAAUGAAUAAUAAGAAGAGAGUGGGUGACAGGACAGAACCCUCAGGAACACCACUGUUAAUAAGAUUUAGGAGAACAGUGACCGUCUACCACAGCAGCAAUAGAACGGUCAGAAAGGAAACUUGAGAUGAAGUUACAGAGAGAAGGAAAGAAGCCAUAUCAGGGUAGUUUGGAAAUCAAAGCUUUGUGCCAGACUCUUAUCAAAAGCUUUUGAUAUGUCCAAGGCAACAGCAAAGGUUUCACCAAAAUAAGAGAGGAUGACCAAGACUCGGUAAGGAAAUCCAGAUCACCAGUAGAGUGGCCUUGACGGAACCCAUACUGGCGAUCAGAUAGAAGGUUGUGAAGUGAUAGAUGUUUUAAAAUCUUCCUGUUGAGGAUAGAUUCAAAAACUUUAGAUAGGCAGGAAAUUAAAGCAAUAGGACGGUAGUUUGAGGGAUUAGAACGGUCAUCUUUUUUAGGAACAGGCUGAAUGUAGGCAAACUUCCAGCAAGAAGGAAAGGUAGAUGUUGACAGACAGAGCUGAAAGAGUUUGACUAGGCAAGGUGCAAGCACGGAGGCACCGUUUCGGAGUAGGAGGGACCCCAUCAGGUCCAUAAGCCUUCCGAGGGUUUAGGCCAGCAAGGGCAUGGAUAACAUCAUUGUGAAUAAUUUUAAUACGUAGCAUGAAGUAGUCAAAGGGUGGAGGAGAGGGAGGAACAAGCCCAGAAUCGUCCAAGGUAGAGUUUUUAGCAAAGGUUUGAGCAAAGAGUUCAGCUUAAGAAAUAGAUGUGAUAGCAGUGGUGCCGUCUGGCUGAAAUAUAGGAGGGAAAGAAGAAGAAGCAAAGUUAUUGGAGAUAUUUUUGGCUAGAUGCCAGAAGUCACAAAGAGAGUUGGAUCUUGAAAGGUUUUGACACUUUGUUAAUGAAGAAGUUUUUGGCUAGUUCUAGAACAGACUUGGCAUGGUUCCGAGCAGAAAUAUAAAGUGCAUGAGAUUCUGGUGAUGGAAUGCUUAAGUACCUUUUGUGGGCCACCUCUCUUAUCAUGUAUAGCACGAGAACAAGCUGUGUUAAACCAAGGUUUGGAAGGUUUAGGACGAGAAAAAGAGUGGGGAAUGUACACCUCCAUGCCAGACACUAUCACCUCUGUUAUGCACUCAGCACACAAAGACAGGUCUCUGACACGGAAGCAGUAGUCAUUCCAAGGAAAAUCAGCAAAAUACCUCCUCAGGUCCCCCCAACUAGCAGAGGCAAAAUGCCAGAGGCACCUUCACUUAGGGGGAUCCUGAGGAGGGAUUGGAGUGAUAGGACAAGAUACAGAUAUGAGAUUGUGAUCGGAGGAGCCCAACGGAGAAGAAAGUGUGACCACAUAAGCAGAAGGAUUAGAGGUCAGGAAAAGGUCAAGAAUGUUGGGCUUAUCUCCAAGACGGUCAGGAAUACGAAUAGGGUGUUGCACCAAUUGCUCUAGGUCGUGGAGGAUAGCAAAGUUGAAGGCUAGUUCACCAGGAUGGUCAGUGAAGGGAGAGGAAAGCCAAAGCUGGUGGUGAACAUUGAAGUCUCCAAGAAUGGAGAUCUCUGCAAAAGGGAAGAGAGUCAGAAUGUGCUCCACUUUGGAAGUUAAGUAGUCAAAGAAUUUCUUAUAGUCAGAGGAGUUAAGUGAGAGGUAUACGGCACAGAUAAAUUUAGUUUGAGAGUGACUUUGUAGUCAUAGCCAGAUGGUGGGAAACUCAGAAGAUUCAAGAGCGUGGGCACAAGAGCAGAUUAAGUCAUUGCGCACAUAAACGCAGCAUCCAGCUUUGGAUCGAAAAUGAGAAUAGAGAAAGUAGGAGGGAACAGAAAAGAGGCUACUGUCAGUUGCCUCAGACACCUGAGUUUCAGUGAUGAAAAGAUGAUGAGGUUUAGAAGAGGAGAGGUGGUGUACUACAGAUUGAAAUUUAGAUCUAAAACCGCGAAUGUUGCAGAAGUUAGUGAAGAAAAAGUUGAAGGGGGUGUCAAGACACUUAGGGUCGUUGACAGAAAGGCAGUCCGACCUGGGAAUAUUUAUGAUCCCCUUCCCAGAUGGGGACUCCGAGGCUGGUGUAUGAGUCGCCAUAUUAAUUUUGAAAUUUUUGAGUGAACAGUGUCGUAGACAGAAAGGCAGUCCGACCUGAGGAUAUUUAUGGUCCCCUCCCCAGAUGAGGACUCCGAGGCUGGUGUAGGAGUCGCCAUAAUAAUUUUGAAAUUUUUGAGUGAACGGUGUGUGUGUUAUUAGGUGCUUGUAGUUUUGUGUGGAGGAAGAGAGUUGUCUUUAGAGGGCAGGCUCUAACUGCCCCCUUGUGUUGUGAGACACAAAGGGAAAUGUUCAGUGAGAUCACAGCUGGUUUUGAUAAGUUCACAGCACCCCCUGAACAGUGCUUUAGACCUCACUGGGAGUAAUUAUCGUUUCGGCAUGUGUCUACUGCCUCCUCCACACGAGUACUUCAAAGCUUGCUCAUUCCUGCUCCCCAUCUAUAACAACCACUCGUUUCAGUCAAUCUUGGAAUUGCCCCCACGAGAGGAUGUAGUGUACGAGGGUACACUGGAGGACUUAGUGCAGUUAGACUUCUCCCCAUUGUACUCGCCCGGAUCCAUUGGCAUAUCUCGUCCAUCAUCUGCUGCAAGUACCUCAUUGUCCAUAGAUGUACCCUGUACUUCUCCAGUAAGUCAGAUCCCAUCAUCCCAGGGUCCUGUGGACACAGCAAAACUCCAGGCUGUCAUGUACUCUCCAGAAUCCCAGGAAGGCACACACACCCAGUCAUCCCACGAUGUUGUACACACCCCAACAUCCCGUACACACCCCAGCACCCCAGGAUGUUUUGCAUACUGUAUCACACCCGUCUAAAGCUUUGGGAACUUCCACACCAGGUACUUCUGUGACACCACGAGGUAAAAAGAGAAAGUUGGCAGACAGAGAUGAUACAUCAGAAAAAAAAAAUAGUGCAAACUGUUGAUAAAGUGAAAAAUGUUAUGGAUGCACUUAUUCAGAAUAAACUAGAAAAGAAAUCUGGAAAACAUGACUUUGUAAUUUCAAGUGUGGAGUCAUUUCUGAAUUAAUUUCCCAUCUCUGAUAGUUUAAAAAUGGAAUUUGGCUCCAAGGUUAUUUUACUGCUACGUGAGUACAUGCAAAAAUAUUCUGAGACACAACAAGACUGAAUAUAGUGUGAAUGAAUAUAACAUCCAAAUUAUAAGUUGUUUCCAGAAAAUCUUAUGAGCAUUUUACUGUGCCUUACAUGUUGAGUGGUAAUGAGGUUAUUAUUUCAAUCCUCUUUGCAAUCCACAAUCCAAUCCAUUCACGCAUUGUAUAUUUACAGAGGUACACUAGUGCAACAGGGCAUGUCUCUCUGGCCAGGUAUUUUACCAAUUGUUACAAAAAUUUUACCAGUUACAAAAUAAUUUUUAAGUGUUUCUCGUACCACCUUUGCUUCAUUUGAGUGUCCCCUGCCAACUUCCUGAAGUUCCUGAAAUAUACCUUGUGGCAAUUCACCGUCCUCAUCCCUGUCAGUGGAUUGCACGUCUGAUGCUCUGCAGUUUUCUCUCUAAUAAUUGUGCAGUACAACAGAUGCAAAAAAUAAAUUUGCUCACAUUUUCAGGCUUUGAUGUAAUGGCUGAUCUGAAUACUCUAAAUUUAAUUAAGUAUACCGAAAGCAUUUUCUGACACCCGUCUUCCUCGUGACAGUCUAUAAUUGAAGAUCAGUUGACUAUCAGUCAGGCAUUCACCUGGAAAGGGCUUCAUUAGGUACGUUUUAAGUGGAAAAGCAUCGUCCAAUACAAUAACAUAAGGAGACUUUUUAUGGAAAACGGUAAUGUUGAAGAUGGUGGGACAGCAAGCCUGUUUCCUUCCAAGUAUGCACGCAGAUUGCAUCGAUCCCAUACACUGGCAUCACUCGCCCUGCCUUGUGCUCCGACAUCGACAUACAUGAAUUUGUAUUCUGCAUCAACAAGUGCUAACAUUAUGAUGCUAUGAUUAGUUUUAUAGUCGUAAUACUCGGAUCCAGUGUUAGAUGGUUUUGUUAUUAGGAAACGCUUCCCGUCCAUAGCUCCUAUGCUCAUGGGAAAGUUUCAUGAGCUGUUGAAUUUACUUGCCACUUGUUUCCAUUCUUUAGUAGUUCUUGGUGUCUUCAAGUAAGUGUCUUUGAGGGCUUUGUAGAUGGCAGAACAAACUUCUGGGAUGAUGCGUGAAAUAAGGUUGUGACUCGUCCUAUACUGGAAUGCCAGGGAUCGACGUGUUUCUCCUGAAAAAGAAAAUAAAAAUGUUUGUCCCGAUUUACUUUUUUUUUUUUUUUUUUUUUUUGUCGUCGGCACAUUUCACCAAAAGUUGAAACUUUUACUAGAACCACUAUACAGAAUUAUUGGCUUGAAACCACUUUUUCCCCUACAGUAAUCCCUCGCAAUAUCGCGGUUCACCUUUCGCUUCUUGAAUACAUUGCAGAUUUUUCUGGCUAAUAUAUGUGGCUAGAAAUUAAUAUAUAAAAAUGAAAAUGCUACUAAUACUUCUGUUCAGUAUAAAAAGUUUCAGAGUGUAGAAAAGAUUUUAAAGAGUGUGGGGAGAGUUGUAUAUUAUAUUAGCUUAAAAUAUAUACAAUAUAUAUAAGAUAAUAAUACAAUAAAUUAUAAGCUCUGAGAUGUGGCUACAUCUUUAAAAAUGGCAAUAAUUUUUACGAACACAGAAAGAAGUUGUCAUUUGCAGUCAGCGGACCAGCAACUGUUAACAGUGGUGCUGAUGUUUUUUUAAAGUUUAUAGCUCUACUUCCAUAACCUAUCUGCUCAAACCUAUUUCACUCUAUGAAUGGCCUUCAAUUGUUGUCGUAUCUAAAUCUGAAUAUGUUACAUGAUUAAUUUUUUUUUUCUUUUUAAAUACUGACCUAACUUUAUUUUUGCUCACAUUUAUUUUAUCUUUUUUCCUCACAGUAAAUUUAUUAUUCAUCUUUUUUAUUUCUUUCACUCCACAAGUAUCAAAGUCAUUUGCAUAUAAUCUAUUUACAAUCUUAUUUCAAUUUUCAAUAAUCUAUGUUCUUCUCCACUUCAUUACCAACUUUUGUUUUCAUUUCUUUCAUAAAAAGGUUCAACAGUCAGGGUGAUCUUGCCUCAUACCUAGCUAACCCCCCCUGUAAUGUAAAACCUCCUUUUUGAUUGUGAUAUAUAAAUGAACAUUUCUGUUGAAUGCUUUUACCCCUCUCAGUAACCUUCCACCAACUCCAUGGCUCUCAAAUAAAACUUGCAUCACUUGUCAUUCUGCUCUGUUAUAUGCCUUCUCCAAAUCCAUGGAUGCAUCAUACCUACAUAGUACUAUUCCCUUGUGUUAACAUUUCCUCAGUUGUCAUCCUUAAAAUAGGAAUCUGAAUUACAUCUUGUUAAUAUUUGCUUUUUUGUUAUCCUUACAACAGAAAUCUGAUCUAGGUCUUGUUAACAUUUCCUUAAUUGUCUUCCUGAUGACAACAGAAAUUUGAACUAGGUCUUGUUAACAUUUACUUAAUUGUCAUCCUUACAACAGAAAUCUGAUCUAGGUCUUGUUAACAUUUCCUUAAUUGUCAUCCUUGCAAAAGAACUGCAAUACAAUACAAUCACAAAAGAAAUUUGAUCUUUCUUCAAUUAUUCUCACCCUUAAAUAGAAAUCUGAUCUAGACAUCUCUUCCCAGCCCUAGAUCUUCCCUUCUCCUCACUGACUUCCCCCUUUGUAAUUGUUUAUAUAUACUCUUUCAAUAGAUAUUAAGGAAGAAGUAUCUCUUACCUGUAGCUAAAUAUCGGAGUGUAACUGAUAAAUGUUGCGCUGGAGAUAUGGCGUCCCGGAACCUUGUGUUCUGCUUCAUGAUUUGGGGACCCACCAACCGUAGAAGUUCUUGGAAGUUAUUCACGUGCAAGCGGUGGAAAUCGUAGAAGGUACGGUUGUCUUCAAGGGACGACUCCCUCACAAGGGUGGAGAACACACUUCGGUCUUUCCUUGCCAGCCAUGGUCUUAUCCACAUUCGUUUCACUUUUCUUUUGUUCUUUAAGUCUUCACUGGCUACAAAACAAGUGGCAAAAGUAACUGUGGACAGAGCGAAUCCAACGAGUGCUUCCUCUAUAGCGGCUAGUGUUAUGAUAUGAGCAGGUAGCAAGCUAGCUAGCGAAUUCUGCAUGUGGUGUGACCAGACUGCUGCGUGUAUCGCUGGCAAACCAGCGAAAACAAUAGCCAGGCUAGCGUUAACAACAGCAAGUGUGCCCGUACCUUCAGCUAGCACCCUGGCGAGAUGGGCCGCUACCUCCGACGGGAAAGCCCGCACUACGGCCUGGUACCGAAGCUGGUUAGUAAGGCCAUCCACACCAUCCCAAACCGCUUCGAGGUGUAGGAACCAUAGCCAUGUCGUACGUGAAGGCGGGAACGUCACACAUGUCGCUUGUGGUCGCCAUCGCGUGUCACAGCGUCACUCCAGCGGUCAGCAACUAUAGUGUUCUCUACGCCAAGGACACGUAGACAAACACAGACCACAGUCUUGGGUUUAUCAUCGUACACACAGCAAUGCCCUGGCGUGCGGCUGCGGGCGUACAGCACUCGAGUCGAGACAAGACUGCCGUCACGUGGCUUCCCCAGCUACCAGGUGUUUGACCUGACCUGACUUGUGGCUUCCCCAGCUACCAGGUGUUUGACCUGACCUGACUUCAAGUCUGGUCGGUCCCACACCUGGGAAGCUUAACGUGUAGGGAAUCCACGGGGAUUAGCGCGGAGUGGCUAGCCGGCUGGCCAGUCACUACAAGGGUUAGGUGUUUGUAGGCCGCACCACCCCACGCCAGACACGCGUACUCCAACGAGGAUCUAACUUGUGCUUUAUAAAGCAUUUCUAGACCCUUGCCGUCCAGGAGCCACGAUAUCCUCCUCAGAGAAACCAGCUUUCCCGAGGCCUCUCUGGCAAGCUGCUCGAUGUGGGUCCUGAAGGUCAGCCCACGGUCGUAGGUGACCCCCAGCACCUCCACUUCGUCCUGCGCGUUAGCAUCUCCCCGUUGAAAUCGAGCUACAGCAGG